rnacentral:SRP_RNA from 1 species
GGCGGGCCUCCCCGCAUUGAGGGGCGGCGAACCUGGUCAGGUCGGGAACGAAGCAGCCAUAGUCGAUUCCCUCAAGUGCCGGGGGUCAGGCUCGCCUUU